rnacentral:rRNA from 1 species
AGUGAACGCUGGCGGUAGGCCUAACACAUGCAAGUCGAACGGCAGCACAGUAAGAGCUUGCUCUUACGGGUGGCGAGUGGCGGACGGGUGAGGAAUACAUCGGAAUCUACUUUUUCGUGGGGGAUAACGUAGGGAAACUUACGCUAAUACCGCAUACGACCUACGGGUGAAAGCAGGGGAUCUUCGGACCUUGCGCGAUUGAAUGAGCCGAUGUCGGAUUAGCUAGUUGGCGGGGUAAAGGCCCACCAAGGCGACGAUCCGUAGCUGGUCUGAGAGGAUGAUAGGCCACACGGGAACUGAGACGCGGUCCAGACUCCUACGGGAGGCAGCAGUGGGGAAUAUUGGACAAUGGGCGCAAGCCUGAUCCAGCCAUACCGCGUGGGUGAAGAAGGCCUUCGGGUUGUAAAGCCCUUUUGUUGGGAAAGAAAAGCAGCAGGUUAAUACCCCGCUGUUCUGACGGUACCCAAAGAAUAAGCACCGGCUAACUUCGUG